CCGGUUUUCUUCUUUAAAAUCUGUACAAAUUGAAUUCAGUGAUUUUUUAAUUUUCUUGUAAGUGUUUCUUUUUUGAUUUUAUGACAUUUAGAUUCCAUUGAGCCAAUUUUAUUUCGUCUGCAUUUAGAUAAGUAUAAUAUUUAAUUAAAAAUAAUAAAAUGUUAAAUUUAGAUAUACAUUUGUUUAGGUAUCUACUAUAUUAUUAUAUGCGCCUCUAUAAUAAUAUAUAAGUUGGAAAAACUAGAGGUAUAUAUCAUAGUAAUACAUAUGUUUAUAAAAGAUAAUACUAUAAUAUUAAAAACCUAUAUAGGUAAGUAAUAUUAGUCGGAAAAUACUAAAGAGUAGGUACAUAACAUUAAUAAUUUUAGUUUUUUAUAUUAUUAAAUAGAUUUUAAAUUAUUGUUAUAUAGAUACCUGUUAACACUUUUUAAAGUAUUAAUUAAAAACAAAUGUUUUUUUAUAUUAUUUUUAUCUUUUUUUGUUGUCUUUUUUUUCUAUAUGUUUUUUUUUCUUUAUUUUUUUUUUCUAGACUCUAUUUAUAACGAGUUCAAUGAUUAAUCACGCUAAUAGCAUUAAUGGGCUAAGAUCAUAUUGGAGAUUGAAUGAGGAAGAAGGGAGGCUAAAGAAUAAAGAUCUUCUAGAGCCAAGAAGCGUGGAAUCGAAACUAUAUUUACUUCAGUGUGAUAAAGAUAAGUAUAAUUCAGAUAGUUGGAAAGAUGAAUAUUAAAACUUAGUCAAACAAAGAAUUUACAACUUCUGAGUGUAGCAGAAAUGUAUUGAUUUUACAUAGAUAUUUAAUUAUUCAUUAUUAUUAUUUUUUAUAUACAGCGUACAAAAAUUCUACCAGAAAUUUUGCUUCGUAUUAAGUACGGAGAUAUGUUUACGGAGAUACUUUAGUAUCAAGUAUAGUACCUUUUCUAAAAGAGAAUUUUCCUAGGGUGGUACUUUAGGGAGGUCAUUUUUUGAUUUUCUCAGGAGUUUAUUUUAGGGAAAAGAAAUACAAUAUUAAACAAAUAUUAUUAAAAAAAUAUAUAAUGCAUAUAACAUAAUAUUAUAUAUUAUUGACAAAGCAACUCUAUUAACCGAACUCCAUUCAGAAUCUUUUUUUCAUUUUUAGUCGUUGCAUACACAUAUACAUUACAUUUCCCCUCUACCUUCCCAACAUCUCACUUACAGGCAACAACAGUGCCCCCCCCCCAACUUCAAAGUAUGUCCGUCCUUUUUAAAUUCUGAUUCAGUGACUUUUAUUAAAUAUUUUUAAUUUAUAGUAUAUAUUUGUAUAUUGUAGUAUUAUAAUAAUUUACAAACAAAUACUUCAUACUUAUUAGUCAACGAUCAGACUACUUUAGCGCUACCGGUGAUUUUGUAUCAAGUGCUUCCGUUGAAAAUUGCACUCGUUAUAAGUCAGUUCAGUAUUUUGUUAAAUUGCGCAAAUGUGAUGAUAUGCUCUCAAAUCCGUAAAACUAUCAGAAAUUAUAAAGUUUUGUAUAGCUUUAUGAUGAAUUCUACUAUAGUUAAAUAACCUGUUAGUUUUGAAUACUAGUACACUAUUAUCUGUUAUUGAGCUAAAAUAGUCCAUAACCCCAAUUCAGCAGUUCAGCAAAUUAGGCCUAUCCAUAAUUGAUUCAAAUUAUUCUUGUGACGCAGCAGUGGAAGAAAAAUUUAGUUUUAAUAUUGUUUAAACAUAAUUUUGCUUUUGUGUGUAUUUCAAUUGACAAUCAUCUUACUAAUAAUUAUUUUUAUUAUAAAGGUUAUAUUAAAUUAAAGAGUCAAGAUUAAUGAAAAUCCUAGAAAUGGUACAAUAAGGUUAUUUACAGUUGUAAUCGCAUUUACUAAUUUUAAUUCUAGUGUAAUGUAUGCAAGAAUGUUAAAAUAUUUUAGGACACAAUUACUUAUGUAUAAUAUUAUUAUAUAAAUAAAUAUAUAAAUAUUAUUAAAAAUUAAGCAUAUUAAAUUAAUU
rnacentral:lncRNA from 1 species